UGGUGAGUUAGCGCGAGUUCCCAGAAAGAGCAGGGAAUGUGGGCACCUGCGGGAGGGAGGCUGCUUGGAAAGGUGGGGUUGGGCCAGAGGAGGCCCCAAACUUAACUUUCAUGCCGCACCAACCGGAGACUUUCUUCCCCUGGCAAUAGCACUGCCAAUUUUGUAGAGAUGUUGGGAAAAAGUGGAGCAGAGAGGGAGGGAAAAAAAAUCAAGCUGAGAAUCGAGGGACAAGAGUGCAUUAGGAAAGUCUCAGAUGCGGGCUGGGGGUUGAGGGGGAUUUGGGGGAGGGGAGAGACUGGAGGAGAGAGGGGAGGACUCCGAGAGUGAAAGGUGGAGAAGGGCGCCAAGAAAGGCUUCCGCAAGGCGCUCCUGGAAGCUCGGAGCUCACUUUCCAAGUCGGGGAUUCUAGUAUUGUUUUUGGCGCCUAGGAAACCUUCGGAAGCUGCCUGGUACUUUCCUCCACCUCCCGUUGGUGUUUGGCCAACUGCCUUCCGGAGCAGGAAAGCUAAGGACCAACACCUUGCUGCCUGGGGAACACAAGCUCAUCAGAGGUCCUUCAAGAUCCCGAGCUCCCCACCUCCUCCCAUCUCAAGACCCUCGAGCCUAACCUGGCCACCCAAAGUAACACCCAAGACAUCGCACCUCAUCAGGAGCUGAAGCGCAUGCAGCUCUGGCAAGUACCGCUGCCUCCAGCCCAAACUCAGCAGAGGUUCCUCCUGGGUCCAACUGGUUUAUCUGCAGAGGGUUUAUCUGCUCUUCUCCAGCCUUGCCCCUGAGACAGGUCACUGUCCCUCCCCCAUCCCUUCCCACCCACCUCCUCCUCCUGGUUAUUUUUUCCGAAUUAAGAAAGUGACAUUAUUCUUUUCUUCAAGCACUUCUGUUAAUAUUGAAAAACGUGCGCGUGCAUCUCAAGCGAGGCAGCCCAGACACGAGGGCCAUUUCAAUAUUAAUGAAAUUGUUUAAUCUCCUAAAUUCAUCGUGUUUAAGUUAUGUUUUGGUGAGUUAUUGACCACCUCCGAAACUGUGGUUAAUGAUGUGUGUGUGUGUGUGUGCACAUGCGCAUAAAAAAAAAUCUUUUUUAUGCUAACCCCAAACAGCUCAACUAGUAAUGCUUUAAUAUUACUAAAAGUGUCAAAACUUCACACCCAGAACUCUCCUACCACCACUACCACCUCCUCCUCUUCCUGGAAAAAAAAAAAAAAGUUCUCACGUUUCCGGACUGAAGAUGAUUCAGUGUGAGCUGUAGGUACUGAGUGUGUAACAACUCGGUAGAAGGAAGGAACUUCUUUUAGAAACCGUAAAAGUCAGGGAAUGUGCAGAAAGCAGUGGAAAUGCCUAGCGUGUACACUUGCAUACUGCAUGCAUGUAGGCGGGGUUGACUAUUUCAAAGCAAUGUAAUGAUGAUGAUGAUGAUAAUGAUAAUAAUAAUAAUAAUGAUAAUAAUAAUUCAUUAAACCUCUAGAGACAAACUCAAUCCAAAUCCAAAUAGAAGGGAACCAGCUACCCACACUAGGCAGGGUGACCCUAGGCUUAUCACCACCCUCUCUUCUCUCCAAAAAAGGAAAACCCAUUGGUUAUUUGCAAAUCUAGAAGGUACAGUUGCUUUUGUGGGGCCAGCAGGCAGCUUUUGCUGGGCUCUCUAA
rnacentral:lncRNA from 1 species